rnacentral:rRNA from 1 species
UACAGAGGUGGCAAGCGUUGUUCGGAAUUACUGGGCGUAAAGCGCGCGCAGGCGGCUAUCCAAGUCAGUGGUGAAAGCCCGGAGCUCAACUCCGGAACUGCCAUUGAAACUGUUUAGCUUGAGGACGAGAGAGGUGAGUGGAAUUCCCAGUGUAGAGGUGAAAUUCGUAGAUAUUGGGAAGAACACCGGUGGCGAAGGCGGCUCACUGGCUCGUAUCUGACGCUCAGGCGCGACAGCGUGGGGAUCAAACAGG